rnacentral:rRNA from 1 species
AGGAUGUGGCGUUGCCCAGACAACUAGGAUGUUGGCUUAGAAGCAGCCAUCAUUUAAAGAGUGCGUAAUAGCUCACUAGUCGAGUGACACUGCGCCGAAAAUGUACCGGGGCUAAACAUAUUACCGAAGCUGUGGAUUGUCCUUUGGACAAUGGUAGGAGAGCGUUCUAAGGGCGUUGAAGCAUGAUCGUAAGGACAUGUGGAGCGCUUAGAAGUGAGAAUGCCGGUGUGAGUAGCGAAAGACGGGUGAGAAUCCCGUCCACCGAUUGACUAAGGUUUCCAGAGGAAGGCUCGUCCGCUCUGGGUUAGUCGGGUCCUAAGCUGAGGCCGACAGGCGUAGGCGAUGGAUAACAGGUUGAUAUUCCUGUACCACCUAUAAUCGUUUUAAUCGAUGGGGGGACGCAGUAGGAUAGGCGAAGCGUGCGAUUGGAUUGCACGUCUAAGCAGUAAGGCUGAGUAUUAGGCAAAUCCGGUACUCAUUAAGGCUGAGCUGUGAUGGGGAGAAGACAUUGUGUCUUCGAGUCGUUGAUUUCACACUGCCGAGAAAAGCCUCUAGAUAGAAAAUAGGUGCCCGUACCGCAAACCGACACAGGUAGUCAAGAUGAGAAUUCUAAGGUGAGCGAGCGAACUCUCGUUAAG